UACGAAGGGUGCAAGCGUUACUCGGAAUUACUGGGCGUAAAGCGUGCGUAGGUGGUUUGUUAAGUCUGAUGUGAAAGCCCUGGGCUCAACCUGGGAAUGGCAUUGGAUACUGGCGAGCUAGAGUGCGGUAGAGGGUAGUGGAAUUCCCGGUGUAGCAGUGAAAUGCGUAGAUAUCGGGAGGAACACCUGAGGCGAAGGCGGGCUACUGGGCUGAUACUGACGCUGAUGCGCGAAAGCCAGGGGAGCGAACGGG
rnacentral:rRNA from 1 species